rnacentral:rRNA from 1 species
AGAGUUUGAUCAUGGCUCAGGACGAACGCUGGCGGCGUGCUUAACACAUGCAAGUGGAGCGACGAACCAGGGCUUGCCCUGGGGCAGAGCCGCGAACGGGUGAGUAACACGUGGGUAACGUGCCCCAAUGAUCGGGACAACCCGGGGAAACCCGGGCUAAUACCGAAUGUGCUCCCCUCACACCAGUGAGGGAUGGAAAGGAAGCUUCGGCCUCCGCAUUGGGAUCGGCCCGCGGCCCAUUAGCUUGUUGGUGAGGUAACGGCUCACCAAGGCUGCGAUGGGUAGCUGGUCUGAGAGGACGAUUAGCCACACUGGGACUGAGACACGGCCCAGACUCCUACGGGAGGCAGCAGUGGGGAAUCUUGCGCAAUGCGCGAAAGCGUGACGCAGCAACGCCGCGUGGGGGAAGAAGGCCUUCGGGUUGUAAACCCCUUUCAGGAGGGACGAAGGUUGGGCGGUUAAUAGCCGACCCGACUGACGGUACCUCCAGAAGAAGCCCCGGCUAACUACGUGCCAGCAGCGGCGGUAAUAC